rnacentral:rRNA from 1 species
UGCGCAGGCGGAAACUUAAGUCAGAGGUGAAAUCCUGCAGCUCAACUGUAGAAUUGCCUUUGAUACUGGUUAUCUUGAGUUAUUAUGAAGUAGUUAGAAUAUGUAGUGUAGCGGUGAAAUGCAUAGAUAUUACAUAGAAUACCAAUUGCGAAGGCAGAUUACUAAUAAUCAACUGACACUGAUGGACGAAAGCGUGGGGAGCGAACAGGAUUAGAUACCCUGGUAGUCC